rnacentral:lncRNA from 1 species
UUUUGUCAGCCCUAUAAAUUCUGGUUUAGUCAUGAGCCGUCAAAAUAUUCUGGCAGGCUUUAAAUCUUUGAAAAUGACUUAAUCGAGAAAUGAUUUUGUCUAAUUUAGAGAUCAGUUAAAUGCGUAUGGAUUCUGGCAUCAUGUCUCUUUGUGACGUCAGUAUGCUCUGGACUGAGUGAGCACUCUUUCUUCUGGCUCCAGCCAGCUUCUUCUUAUGAUGUUCUUGGUUCAGAUGUAACACCUGCUAUCAUCAUGAAAAAUAGAGGAGAAAUUAUUGGAUGAAAAUUUAAUGAAAAGGAAAACAACUGCUGGAGUAUGCGAGAGAAAAAAAUGGACUAAGAAAGCACAUACUCAUGAAGAGACACUUCAGAUUUUGAAGCGAAUUUCCAGUGGAACACUUAAUGAAGUCCUGGUCUGCACAGAGGGCAGGAUGCCACAAGUGCACUUCAGGUCUUUCUACUGCAGAGCAAACUAAUUGGAGAAAGAAAGUUCUGCACCAAAGUUGCUGAGUUACAUGCUGAAGAAUUAUAAGGGUAUGUAGAAAACUGAUUUACAAUAGAAACACUGAAUCUAAAGAAGGAGACUUAAAUGGCUGCUUCCCUCUGUCGCUUAAAAAGUGACUACAUCUAUAAAAUUCCAUCUGUUAUGGAGUGAGAUAGAGUGUUCCAUACAACAAACUUAACCACUGAAACUUUUUAGACUCCAUAGCUGUUUUCAUCGCUGAAGUUAAGCUACGUGCUCUUGUAAUGCUUGGAAUAUUUUUUUCUUACCUUUAAUAUUUGUUGUUGCAAUACUGGGAGACAGUUUAAAGAAAUCAGGAUCUCUUGAGUUCUUUCUGUUCUUCAUCUUAACUGGCUUCUUUCCAAACUGCUGGUCAGCCACCUACACCUUAAGAGAUAUUGAAGGUAUCUGUGGUGCAAAUACCUAAUCAAUGACAGAAAAUUUGGAGAAGGUCUGUAAAUUGCUUUGCAAGCCUUUCAUGCUAGUUAUAGCAUUUUAAAUGCAAAAUACUUAUACAGAGCAUUAGGAAACAUUUUAUUCUGUUUUAUAUACUGAGUGCAUACAAAGAGCUGCCCUGCUUCUCUUGUGAGAAUGCAGUGUAAACCACUGAUAUUUUUGCAUUACACUUGUGUAGGAGUUUGUUCCUUUAUGGAUUCUUUUGUAUUUGGGUUAUGUCCCCACUUGAUUCUUUCCCUCCGAUUGCAUACCAAAUAUCUGUGAUGCAGGAACUGAAGCUUAGAGAAAAUCGGUGAAGAAGAAUUUAUCUAGUGAGAGAAGAGUGGGAGUCAGUUAUGUUCUAGCUUCUUUAAAAUUCUGCUCUCGUGGCUACCUAUGGCCAGGAGCUGUACCUGUAGAGCCACAUCUGCUUCUUUAGGGGUACACUGGCAAGCAUAUAUGAAGAGAAUUGCUUGAAUAACUUUUCAAAAAUACCCUUGCAACAUUUAUACAUGCAUUGUUGCAGAGAUGGCAGUGGU